GACAGAGGUGCCGAGCGUUAGGCGGAAUCACUGGGCUUAAAGCGUGUGUAGGCGGAUGGGUAAGUACCUUGUGAAAUCCCACGGCUCAACCGUGGAACUGCUCGGUAUACUGCUCGUCUUGAGCCAACUAGGGGCGACCGGAACAAACGGUGGAGCGGUGAAAUGCGUAGAUAUCGUUUGGAACGCCAAAGGUGAAAACAGACUGCUGGGGCUGUGCUGACGCUGAGACACGAAAGCCAGGGGAGCGAACGGG
rnacentral:rRNA from 1 species